UCAAACGGUAAAAAGAAGAGAGUGCCAGUACAUAGCUAGCAUUGUAUUUUGUGAUGGCGAUUAGGAAGAGCAAUGCAAGCUUUGUAUGCUGGGCGGCCCUGAUGUUGGUGAUGGCCACUCUGAUGUUGUCAUGUGAUGCUGAUCCAAAAGAAUCAUGCGGUUUGAUUGAAGAUGGAUGCAACGAAGCCCAGUGUAGGGACUAUUGUAGGAUCAUUGGUCACACCAAGGGAUCUUGCCGGGAAGCCGAGUAUUGUUGUUGUUUGAUUGCCGCAAAGCCCAAGGUCGACAUUGUGCAUCAUCGUGAUUGAGCUUCUAUGAACAUUAUUUUAUUAGAUAUAUAGCAAAAGAGCCCUUGUAACGGGUACAAAAUAAAUAAAUUUUAUGCAGAAACA